rnacentral:rRNA from 1 species
AACGAACGCUGGCGGCAUGCCUAACACAUGCAAGUCGAACGAGACCUUCGGGUCUAGUGGCGCACGGGUGCGUAACGCGUGGGAACCUGCCCUUAGGUUCGGAAUAACUCCCCGAAAGGGGUGCUAAUACCGGAUAAUGUCUUCGGACCAAAGAUUUAUCGCCUUUGGACGGGCCCGCGUUGGAUUAGCUAGUUGGUAGGGUAAAAGCCUACCAAGGCGACGAUCCAUAGCUGGUCUGAGAGGAUGAUCAGCCACACUGGGACUGAGACACGGCCCAGACUCCUACGGGAGGCAGCAGUGGGGAAUAUUGGACAAUGGGCGAAAGCCUGAUCCAGCAAUGCCGCGUGAGUGAUGAAGGCCUUAGGGUUGUAAAGCUCUUUUACCCGGGAUGAUAAUGACAGUACCGGAAGAAUAAGCUCCGGCUAACUCCGUG